ACUUUUGUGGUUCAUAAGCGUGAUUGGGUUUUCACACUCAUGUGUGACAUGUACCUUCUUCCAACCUUGUUACAAUGUUGAUGCAUUACCCAUUACCCAUCUGACA
ensembl:snoRNA